AGCAGUCCAAAUAACAAGUAUAUAGCAGCAGUCCUAAAUGCAUCAAGUAUAUAGCAGCAGUCCUAACAAGUAAAUAUAGCAGCUGUCCAAAAUAUAGCAGUCCAAAUAAUUGUAACAAGGACAAUAGGAAGUGUCAAAAGACAUCAGAUUAAUGAAUAAUAAACAGAAGUUCAAAUAAACAGAAGUCUCAUCAUUCCAUUAUAAAACAGAAGUUCAAAUAAUUGUAACAACAUUCCAUCCUAAGUAAAUAAACAGAAGUUCAAAUAAUUGUAACAAGCUGUCCAAAACAACAUUCCAUUAUAAGUAAAUAAAAAUUAGUGAAUAAUAAACUAGUCCAAAUGAGUCUCAUCAAAACUAGAAUCGUC
rnacentral:lncRNA from 1 species